rnacentral:tRNA from 1 species
GGGCCCGUAGCUCAGCUGGUCAGAGCAGCGGACUCAUAAUCCGUUGGUCCCUGGUUCGAAUCCAGGCGGGCCCACUA